AGAGAGUGCAAGCGUUAAUCGGAAUUACUGGGCGUAAAGCGCGCGUAGGUGGAUAUUUAAGUCGGGUGUGAAAGCCCCGGGCUCAACCCGGGAAUUGCAUUCGAUACUGGGUAUCUAGAGUAUGGUAGAGGGAAGUGGAAUUUCAGGUGUAGCGGUGAAAUGCGUAGAUAUCUGAAGGAACACCAGUGGCGAAGGCGGCUUCCUGGACCAAUACUGACACUGAGGCGCGAAAGCGUGGGGAGCAAACAGGAUUAGAGACCCUGGUAGUCCACGCCGUCAACGAUGAGAACUAGACGUUGGGAAGUUUAACUUCUUAGUGUCGAAGCUAACGCGUUAAGUUCUCCGCCUGGGGAGUACGGCCGCAAGGCUA
rnacentral:rRNA from 1 species